rnacentral:lncRNA from 1 species
GGCGGCGGCCGACCUCCAAUCCGCCCCAAAAUUUAACCAUGUCAUCUCCAUCACCUCCUUUUUCCAUAUCUCCAAACAAUAUCCUUCAAAAAACUCUCAAAUUCCUUGAAUCUUAUAUCUAAGAAAUUUUUCCGUCACUUUUUCGCCCAAGUUAUUGAAGUUUCGGUCACUACCACCCCACAAUACAUACAUCAACGGAUAGAGCUCUUCAAGACCUAGCUAUUGAUGUCAAUUCUACCUCAAAAAUCCGGCGACGAAAAUCCUGCCAAAUUCCGGCGACCUCUUCGAAUAUCCUUCUUGGCAUACCAUCAUUUUUUUCGGCUAUUUGAAUUGUAAAAUGGUAAAAUACUAUUCUUUUUCAUGGUGAAUUUUUAUUUUUUAUUUUUAAUAUUCAUAUUUUAUUUUUAUUAUUAAUUAUUUAGGAUUAGUUUUUGAAGUUUGAAAUGUUAAAUUUUCUGUUUUUGCACUUGUUGAAAUAGUAAAAUAUUUUUGUACUGAUAAAACUGAAGUAGUGAAAAAUACUUAAGAGUAUAUGGUAUUUGUUUGUUUGUUUAUUUACUAUUUGAAGACUUUUUGAGCACAAAAUUCAAAAGUCAUUUGCUUGGUAAGAAAUAUAAACUUUUGGACAAUUUUUGAACAAAAGUCUAUCCUUGAACAACAAACUGCUGAUUUUUGUUUGAAAUACUCUUUUUUUGACAAGAUUUGAUGGAGAAAGUCUUGCUUUUUGAAUUUAAGAGCAGACUUUGUAGAAAAUCUGUAAAAAAAAUUAUUUUUUGAAUUUUUAUAAUAGCUGUUGGUUGUGAUAUAUAUAGAGGGAAUCACACUUCCAAAAGGUAGAGAGGAGAAUUGCGAAAACGCACAAAAAAAUAAAGGAGUGGAGAGAAUUUACUCAGUAUACGGUGACAGAAUUUAAUUUUUCGAGAAUUUCAGUAGUAUACACGUAAUAUACACUCUGAAUAUAUCCAGUAUACAUGUACAGAAUUAAAUUUUGGAGAGUUUAUUUGAGAGUAGAAGAGAGUUAAAAGCUAGAAAGAGAAAACAAAGAGAGAUUUCCGAAAUAUUUUUCUUCUCUAUUUUUUUUACUGGUUUUCUCCGUGUUGGUGGGAUUUCUGAAUUGAGGUGUUGAAACUAAUGUGCUGGUUAUUACUGUUGCUGUUAUUGUUUGCUACUGCUCUGAUGAUUCUCUUCUUCCUCUUUUUUUGCUUUUAAUACCAGGUACACUUUCGAAUCACUGCGAUGUAGCUGUAAGAUGUACAAGUAAAAUUAAAGUCUAGGAAAUUGAUGAAUCAUAUGUUGUAUUUGUAGUUUAAUAGAUUAUGUGAUAAGUAUUUGUAUAGUCUAUUUCCAUUACUCGACAAAGAUGCUUUGAGCAGUUUGUACUUAACUGAAACUUCAUUUGUUUAAAAAUUAUAAUCUAUAGAUGUCAGUUGUGCAUGUGAUGUAGUGAGUUAUGUAGAUUGUAGAAUGAACGAAUAGUUAAUGGAUUAGUUG